rnacentral:hammerhead_ribozyme from 1 species
CCGCGAAACCGCCCGCGGGCGGUCUGCCUGGCGUGGUGGUCAGGCACUGAUGAGCAGCCGUUU